CGUUCCCUACGGGAGGCAGCAGUGGGGAAUAUUGCACAAUGGGGGAAACCCUGAUGCAGCAACGCCGCGUGAGUGAAGAAGUAUUUCGGUAUGUAAAGCUCUAUCAGCUGGGAAGAGAAUGACGGUACCUGACUAAGAAGCCCCGGCUAACUACGUGCCAGCAGCCGCGGUAAUACGUAGGGGGCGAGCGUUAUCCGGAUUUACUGGGUGUAAAGGGAGCCUAGACGGCCAGACAAGUCUGAAGUGAAAAUCCAGCGCUUAACGUUGGAAGUGCUUUGGAAACUGCCGGGCUAGAGUGCAGGAGG
rnacentral:rRNA from 1 species